AAAAAUAAUAAGAAGACUGUUUUGGUGUUCCGCAAUGAAAGAAGUGCUGAUCCUGACUGACAUAUUCCACCGCCGCACACUACUCGUCAGAACAACAUGCAAAGUCAGUCAUCUCGUGUCAUCUGGGUCCCUCCUCUCGGUGCCAAUGACUCAGCUCAGAAUCAGAUAUUUAAGCAUUACUCAUACACACAGAUUCAGUUUUUUUCAGCUUUUGCACCAAACGUCACCGUAAAACAACAACAGCUCAGUUAUACAAUCAAGUUGUUUCCCUUGGUUGUCCUUUUUGUUUUGCUUGGAAGCUGAUGGUUAGAGAAGGGUUUCAAUAGGAAAUUCAACUCCUUAUUUUACCCAAUACUGCGAUGGAUUUUUCUCAUUAGAUUUAAAGCAGCAACUUAAGGUUAUGAACAUGCUUGAGAUCUGAUUAAGGAUCAUUAUUUUGCUGUGUCAUGUUACCCAUUUUAUUGUCAGUAAUUAGGUGGCAUGUUAUUUGAGAUUUUUCGGUUUGCAAUUCUUCAUUUCUUGCAUUGUAAUCACUUUUAGGAAAAUUUCAAGGUUAUUCAUGUGUGUAUAUGCAUGCAAUAUCUUUUUCCUAUCUACCAUUUUAACAUAUGAAGAGAUGAAUUGAAAUCGACACACAAAUUGAUUCAUGUUUUUCUGUUAUUAUGUAUAUAAGCUAGUCUGUCCGACCUUGAUCUGUACAAUUAUUCUCUGCUCUUUUUUAUUGAUUUGAUAUAUUUUUAUUGAAGUACUUGUAAAGGGCUUUCCAAUUUAGUUACUAAUGCCAAAGAAGAUAUUAUGAUGUUGGUAAACUUGCCAGAAAGUGGAUUUUAUUCUGUAGGUAACAUUAUCUGCAUUCUUUCUUAGCUAAUCAAUCACUAAAUCCCACCAGUGGUGCAACCUAUAAGUGGAGAUGUGUUCUAGUUUAUACUGAUCGAUAAUUGACUUUUGUCAGGCUCAACAGUUCAGUGCUAUCAUUUGGUUCAUUUUUCUGAUAAAUUUAUCUCAUGCCUUCAGGGAAAGACGAGAGUAAAGUGAUAAUUGACCUGAUAAUGAAGGAAUCACGGAGACUUUAAGGUGUAGAAGAAUUUAGCUGCAUCUUGCUUUGUCUUUCUGAUAUUAUGACCUGAAAUUGGUUAUGCAAGCCUGUUUGUUGUUAUUGAUGUAUUUUUUUUUUAACUCUCCACAUAAUUGGUUUUUUCCAGGAGACAGUGAAUUUCCCCUUGCUCCUUUUUUUUGUUAUUUCUCUGUUAUCAUGAUCAUGUGAUUCAUGUUGCUUACAUUUAGAUUUCUGGUAAGCCUUUGGUUGAGGAGUUUGUUCGGCAUUGCUUCAUUGGUGGAACAAAAGUGCUUUUUGGAACUAUUUCCCUUUUUCUUGUUAACUUGACGUUUUGAUCGUUUGUAUUCCAAAAGUUGAACCGCAACUAAUGCGUAAUGGAUAUUUUAAUUGUUGCAGGAAACAUGAAAGUGCUCGACUGACUGAUUGAUUUAUUUUGAUUUGGAAAAGUCAGGCUCUAGAGUUGCAUUCUCUUUCAGUAAUUAAUGAACUUGCUGAUGUCGGUCUGUGAAGGUGGUCUAUGGUGCAACAUCACUUACUUUCAUAUAUGUUCUGUGUUGUACAAUCAGCAUGUCAUUGGCCAAAAGGAGUUUUAGCUAUUUUCAUCUGCCUUAAAGGUACUUUGGGCUAAUGGAAAAGAUUUAAAAGCAAGUAAGAUGGCCAAUAAUUUUAGGCCUAUCACCCUGAAGAACUAUAUCAUCUAGGGAAGGCGAAGUGCUCGUCUAAUUCUCAUAGAACAUUUGCUGAUGCAGAUUUAGAACUCAAGAAAGGAAUCAUGUGGAAGGGACUUGCAAUUUAGUUCCAGCCGAUCAAAUUCUUUGUUCCGACAUUUUUCCCAAGGAGUACUAGUUCUGCAGAGAGUCUUUCCGUAAAAAGCGAUGUCAGCUCAGAGGGCAGAGAAUCCAUUUGCAAAGAGAGAAAUGAUAUAGCAAUUGAAAGAAUGAAUGAGCACUGGAUAGAUGUAAAUGAAGAUGGUUCAAAGUCUAUGAUGCCGGGAAUAUUUUCCAGUAAGCAACUUAAGAUCCAGUCCUCCUCCUUCAACUUAACAUGUAUUAUUCUGCCAUCUUCUUCAAAUGAUAGCUGUCAGAAGACUACAGCGGAUGCUAUCUCAUGUGAGCUUAACAGGCAUAGUGGUAUCAAUACAUUCACAUCUACCAGCUUAAGGUGCUGUCUAGAGGAUCUUGUUGUAAAAGACUCGGUUCUUGAUACAGCUGCUCAAACGUCUGCUAGAGAUAGCAUGUAUCAUACAGGCUGUUCACCUAGAACCCAAGGCUCAAUAUGUAGUCGUUCCGGAAGAAGAGACUGUGUUAAGCAUGCAGGUGGUAAUGCUAUGGUCUUGGAGAAAAAGGUUCAGAAAUCUGACAUGCGAAGAUGCAUGCAGUGAUUUUCGCCAUUCAGCAUAUGCACGGGGAAUCUCUGCAUUCGGAGGCAGAAUGUUUGGUGAUUCUGCAGUUACUUUCUUGCAAAAUGAAAGCCAGCCGAAAUCUAAUUGUGUAAAAUCUUUGUUCCAGGCAGAUUUAAGUCCGCAGAACUUCAGCAGUCGCAGUAAGCCCCAACAUUUCCUGGUGUUUACACCAACUAUGCAGCGAAGGCCAAAUUACCCAUCACUUCAAUCCCCGUCAUUGGUGCCGCCUCAUGCAUUGUUAUACAAUAAUGCACCCUGUUUUGACCCCAACAUUCCAUUAUUCUCGAGUCUCAAUGCUCCUGGUGUCAUUUCACACGACAUGACAAAUCCACAAAUAUGUGCUUCAUUUCCUUAUCUCUCCACUUUUUCUGGUGCACCACAUUUGACUCUAGGUCAAGGUGGACCUGGUUCCUAUGAAGUUGCUAACUUACGGUUCGGUUUUGAUCUGAAUGGAGGGAUAACUUCAUUAGAAAGUAGAAACUGGAUAGAAAAUGGCGGACAACAGUCUGUUCCUGUAAAUAUCGCAACAACAGAUGAUCAAAAAAGGUCUUUGCAACAUUUUGCUUUAUCUGCUGCUUCCAUGAAAAGGAGCCAACCAGAAGGCGGAUGGGAUUCUCACCAGUUUAGCUUCAGACAAAUGGCUUCAAGGAAGUAGUAACAUACACCAACAAGGACCAAUGACCUAUAGUUCAAAUGGUAUAAGCGCUAAACUGCUAGAUCGUGGGUUCAAUUCCUUCCACAAGAGCUUCUCCUACCCAAUUAUAUAAAAAAAAAAACAUACACCAACAAGGUAAGUGUUAGAUAUUUUUGGAGUAUAGAGUGGGAAGCAAGCCCAUGUGCACAACCAAAAUUGUCAAUAAUAAAUCAGCAACAACCCUUUUCAUUUAGUGUUCGCUUAACUUUUUGUAAUUAAUUAAAGGACAAUACUAUCUGUUUUAUUUAUUUAAUUAUUUUUUCAGAUGGGAAGUUCCUAAGACAUUCUAAUAGAAAACAGCAAAGAAAGACCUUAAUGUAUAGUCAAGUUAAUUAUAAAUUUUGUUCUGUCAA